rnacentral:rRNA from 1 species
CAAUAGCGUAUAUUAAAGUUGUUGCGGUUAAAAAGCUCGUAGUUGGAUUUCUGUUGAAGACGGUCGGUCCGCUCUAUGAGCGUGUAUCUGAUUCGGCUUUGGCAUCCUCGUGGGGAACGUAACUGUGCUUGAUUGCAUGGUGCGGUAUUCACGACUUUUACUUUGAGGAAAUUAGAGUGUUCACGGCAAGCUAUCGCUUUGAAUACAUUAGCAUGGAAUAAUAAUAUAGGGCGUAAGUUCUAUUUUGUUGGUUUCUAGGACAUACGCAAUGAUUAAUAGGGAUAAUUGGGGGCACUCGUAUUAACACGUCAGAGGUGGAAUUCUUAGAUUGUGUUACGACGAACUACUGCGAAAGCAUUUGCCAAGGAUGUUUUCAUUGAUCAAGAACGAAAGUAUGGGAUCGAAGACGAUUAGAUACCAU